AAAGCGGCUCUGACAGCCCGAGGCGCCGCCGACCGUCAAACUUCACCCCGGGACAAAAAGAGAGCGAACCAUGGACAAAGAAGACAAAACAGCAUAAAAAAAGUCUUCUCAGUGCACCGGACAAUUCAUAGAGAGAAACAAACACAAGACAGGGCCAUCUGAGCAGGUGUAUAGGACAGUUUGAAGAAGGACAGAGACUCCUCUGUGUGACCUCUCGACUGGCUACUCUGAUUUCAGUCAAUGCAGAGAUCGUCUAUCAGUUGCUGUCACAUAAGGACAUGUGCUGUGGAUUCUAUCUGCAUAUUUGUCAGCUGGUCUUUGAUCCAGUAGGUGGCAGCACAUCUUUUGAAGGCCUUAAGCACCUGUCAUCAUCCUGAACUCCAGUAGGCCUAUCACACUGUCUCAUUCCAUCGAUUCUGCCUCUUCUCCUCCCUCGUGCCCCUUUCAGCCCUCCUGGAGUCCCCAGGGCCACUCGGCCUCCAUGGAGAGCAGGGAGAGGGAUGCGGGACCCUCGCCCAGGAGAUUUGCCUCAAUAAUGGGAACGUGACGAAGGAUCCCGUGCCUGCACUGGGUUUUCAUGAUGUCUCAACUCUCACAGACCUGUGCUCCAGUGUGGAUCUACCAGAGGUGGAGAUUGUCAGUUUGCUGACUGAAGAAUUACCCAAAUACACUCUGCGGGCAGACCAUGUGUUUGGGUACGAGCAUGAUGACUGGCUGCACACACCUCUGCUGCCACCAGAGGCCGCUCUGGGACUCACACACGAGCAGACCGACGAAACACUCAAGUACUUCU
rnacentral:lncRNA from 1 species